UAGACCUUUAAAUCAGUCCGGAGAGGCUGGUAAGGGGAGUUUUGAUAACGCAAAGGUUAGCAAAAUCUAAUGAAGCCUCUUGCCAGUUCUGUGGCAGGAGGCUUUUUUAA
rfam:Dehalococcoidia bacterium CG2_30_46_19 cg2_3.0_scaffold_1113_c, whole genome shotgun sequence.